rnacentral:rRNA from 1 species
AUUAUGGCUCAGGAUGAACGCUAGCUACAGGCUUAACACAUGCAAGUCGAGGGGAAACGAUAUUGGAAGCUUGCUUCCGAUAGGCGUCGACCGGCGCACGGGUGAGUAACGCGUAUCCAACCUGCCCAUCACUUGGGGAUAACCUUGCGAAAGUAAGACUAAUACCCAAUGACGUCUCUAGAAGACAUCUGAAAGAGAUUAAAGAUUUAUCGGUGAUGGAUGGGGAUGCGUCUGAUUAGCUUGUUGGCGGGGUAACGGCCCACCAAGGCAACGAUCAGUAGGGGUUCUGAGAGGAAGGUCCCCCACAUUGGAACUGAGACACGGUCCAAACUCCUACGGGAGGCAGCAGUGAGGAAUAUUGGUCAAUGGACGAGAGUCUGAACCAGCCAAGUAGCGUGCAGGAUGACGGCCCUAUGGGUUGUAAACUGCUUUUAUAAGGGAAUAAAGUGAGUCUCGUGAGACUUUUUGCAUGUACCUUAUGAAUAAGGACCGGCUAAUUCCGUGCCAGCAGCCGCGGUAAUACGGAAGGUCCGGGCGUUAUCCGGAUUUAUUGGGUUUAAAGGGAGCGUAGGCCGGAGAUUAAGCGUGUUGUGAAAUGUAGACGCUCAACGUCUGCACUGCAGCGCGAACUGGUUUCCUUGAGUACGCACAAAGUGGGCGGAAUUCGUGGUGUAGCGGUGAAAUGCUUAGAUAUCACGAAGAACUCCGAUUGCGAAGGCAGCUCACUGGAGCGCAACUGACGCUGAAGCUCGAAAGUGCGGGUAUCGAACAGGAUUAGAUACCCUGGUAGUCCGCACGGUAAACGAUGGAUGCCCGCUGUUGGUCUGAAUAGGUCAGCGGCCAAGCGAAAGCAUUAGGCAUCCCACCUGGGGAGUACGCCGGCAACGGUGCAACUCAAAUGAAUUGACGG